UGAAGAGGAUUAUCCGCGGUGGUCAUCAGGAGCCCUGACUUGCAGUCUGGUAUACUUAGGCCUGGACCACACUUACCUUUUAUGAGCAGGCUCUCUUCAAAGGAAUGUUUCUGAAAGUAUUCUGGAAACACAACCAUCAGACAGUGUCCUGGAUGAGAAGUCACUCAAGUUACCCAGAAAGAAAAAUACAAUAGCUCUCUGUAUUUGGCAGCAGGAAUCACCCGUUGCUGUACACCUAUACUAAAGCAGCAAAGCAAUAAUCCACAUUUGUUUGAGAAGAAGAUGGUGUGAUUUCUCAUAUUCACCCUACAUGACUCUGGAAGAAUCAGUCCCAUUGAAGAAGAUAAGUUGUCAGUCAGGGGUAAAGAUAUCCGGCCUUUUGCUGCUAAUAA
rnacentral:lncRNA from 1 species